UUGUCGGCGGUGGCCUUGGCC
rnacentral:misc_RNA from 1 species